rnacentral:rRNA from 1 species
UAACAGAGGUCUCAAGCGUUGUUCGGAUUCAUUGGGCGUAAAGGGUGUGUAGGUGGCGCCGUAAGUCGGGUGUGAAAUUUCGGAGCUUAACUCCGAAACUGCAUUCGAAUACUGCGGUGCUUUGAGGACUGGAGAGGAGACUGGAAUUCAUGGUGUAGCAGUGAAAUGCGUAGAGAUCAAUGAGGAAGACCAGUGGCGAAGGCGGGUCUCUGGACAGUUCCUGACACUGAGACACGAAGGCCAGGGGAGGCAAACGGG